AUUGAACGCUGGCGGCAUGCCUUACACAUGCAAGUCGAACGGCAGCACGGGUGCUUGCACCUGGUGGCGAGUGGCGAACGGGUGAGUAAUACAUCGGAACGUACCUUAUCGUGGGGGAUAACGCAGCGAAAGUUGCGCUAAUACCGCAUACGCCCUGAGGGGGAAAGCGGGGGACCGUAAGGCCUCGCGCGAUUAGAGCGGCCGAUGUCUGAUUAGCUUGUUGGUGAGGUAAAAGCUCACCAAGGCGAUGAUCAGUAGCUGGUCUGAGAGGACGAUCAGCCACACUGGGACUGAGACACGGCCCAGACUCCUACGGGAGGCAGCAGUGGGGAAUUUUGGACAAUGGGGGCAACCCUGAUCCAGCAAUGCCGCGUGAGUGAAGAAGGCCUUCGGGUUGUAAAGCUCUUUUGUCAGGGAAGAAACAGCAGCUCUAACACAGUCUGCGAAUGACGGUACCUGAAGAAUAAGCACCGGCUAACUACGUGCCAGCCGCCGCAGUAA
rnacentral:rRNA from 1 species